ACUCAAGGGCUGAACCCGUAAAUGUUGCAAAAUUUUGGGAUGACUUGUUGUUAGGGGUGAAAGGCUUAUCAAACUUGGUGAUAGCUGGUUCUCCGCGAAACCUAUGUAAGUAGGGAUGGUUUCUUUUUUUAUGUUAGGUAAAGUAAUUUUAUUUUUUCUUGCGAAAAAAUAGAAACCUUUCAAUUAUCGUAAAUUUUAAAACUAAUCAGACUUUUAGCGCUAAGGUUUAAAGUCAAGAGGGAAACAGCCCAUAUCGGUAAAUAAAGUUGCUAAUUACGUUUAUUUUAAAGACUUUGUCAGCAGCUCUAGGCGAGGUGGGCUUGGAAGCAGUCAUCCUUUAAAGAAAGCGUAAAAGCUCAGCACGGAGAUUGAUUUUUAUUAAAAAUCUAUAUUAAACAAGGUCAAAAAUAUUUUGCAAUAAUAACGUAAACUGAAUUUCCGACAAAGUUAAUUCUUUGNNNNNNNGUAGCGGAGCGAGUUCUAUGUCUUUGAAGCGUUCAUGAGAGUAAACGUUGAGAUAUGAAUUUUGAUUAUGUUAACAUGAGUAAUAGAUAAUUUGUUGAAACAAGUUCGUCGUAUGUCGUGUGGUUUCUUUGUUAGGAUAAACUUACAAAGAAAAACUCGGUGUCUAAGCAAUUGACUAACGUCAGUUGUGAUGGGUAGUAUAUUUCAGAUGAAACGUAAUAUACAAGUGACCGUACAAAAACUAACACAAGUCGACUAGCUGAGUAAGCUAAGACGAAAGAGGUAAUGAUACUAAAGGAACUCUGCAAAAUGAUCCUGUAACUUCGGGACAAAGGAUGCCUUUUAGGUUAAGAAAAGAGGGGGUAACGACUGUUUAAUAAAAACAUAAGACCUUGCUAAGUUUUACGACGAUGUAUAAGGUCUGACACCUGCCCAGUGCUGCAAGGUGAAAUAAGAGUGUUGUGCGCUUUUUAUAAACCCCAGUAAACGGCGGCCGUAACCCUGACGGUCCUAAGGUAGCAAAAUCCCUUGACGGGUAAGUUCCGUCCUGCACGAAUGGUGUAACGAUUGCCCCGCUGUCUCUAGUAUCAACUCUAUGAAAUUGAAGUGGCCGUGAAGAUGCGGUUAGGUACAGCUAGACGGAGAGACCCUAUGCACCUUUACUACGGCCUGUUAUGAAGAACAAGAAAAAAAAAUCUAGGUAUGUAGUUGCUUUAGCAAAAGUGGAAGACUACUUUUUUUUUACUUCUAUUUGACUGCAUGCAGUUUUACNNNNNNNNNGGAGGGUAGUUUGACUGGGGCGGUCGCCUCCAAAAAGGUAACGGAGGUGUGCAUAUGAUUUAAGGCAUACGCAAGUAUAGUUAUUUAAUGAAUUGAUACUUAAGUUUGAUUCUUGUACUUACAAGUAUGAGAAGGGCGCAAGCCUGCCAUAUUGACCCGGUAUUGUGUUGGGAAUUCAAUAUCGAUUAUCGAAUAAAAGGUACGCUAGGGAUAACAGGCUUAUGUUUUCUGAGAGUUCCUAUNGAAGAAAACGUUUGGCACCUCGAUGUCGGCUCAUCAUAUCCUGGUGGUGCAUACGCUGCCAAGGGUUCGGCUGUUCGCCGAUUAAAAUGGUACGUGAGCUGGGUUUAAAACGUCGUGAGACAGUUUGGUCCCUAUCUACUGUAUAUUUAGAACAGGAUACGAUUUUUACCUCAGUACGAGAGGACCGGGGACAGAAAGCCAAUGGUUUAGUAGUUAUUGCUUUAAUGAGUANGCUGUUACGCUAAGCUUUUAUAUAGUAAUUAGUUCUCUAAAAACUUGGUCGUACUUUUGUUCUAAUAGUUUGUUUUAAGAUAACAAAUUAAAAACCUAAGCAGUAAAAAAACAGUAAUGUAUACUGCCAGGUUACAAUUCUAAAUUAGCUGACUAUAAAAACUUCGA
rnacentral:rRNA from 1 species